GAAGAAAAUAGCCAGUGUUUUGAACUACCAAAGAAUGAAAAAAUAGAAAUUAAGGUAGAGGAUGUGAGGGUAGUUUAUGGCUUGCCUACAGGAGAAAUUCCAAUUGUUGAGCCAAAGUCUGAUAAAAAUAGUGAGGAGUAUGCAGAUUUUCUGAAGAAAUGGAGAAAAUCAUGGUCAGGAAAAACUCCAUCAGUGAGUCAGAUUGUGAAUGGAUACAUAAAUGAUAAAUUCACCAACAACAGACCACAAAGUGAACAUUUCAUUACUAACUUUUUAGCAGUGGCUGUGAACUGCUUGAUGAAAUGUGUAUCAAACAAUCAAUGUCAUUUCAAAUUUCUUUAUUCUAUGAUGGACAAAGAAAAAAUAAAAAAUUUGAACUGGUGUCAGUUUGUAUAUGACUCACUUAUCAAAUGUCAUGUUGAUUGGAGAAAGCAGCAAGGCAAGGGGUUCUACAAAGGCCCUCUUCAAUUUCUGAUGUUGUUCUAUUUUGAUAGAGUUCAGAGGUUAGACAAAAGGCCUCUAAGAACAUUUCCUAUCAUAUCUGCAUGGAAUAGAGACAUGGUUCUUGAGAGGUUGAAGAUUGAAUUAGAAUUGGGAUUUGGGAGAGGGAAAAUUCUACCAAGGAUUGCUGCAGAAGUUGAAGAAAGUCCUGAGGUUUUCAUGGAUGAUUUUGUUUCCCUGGUAAACACAACUUGUUCAAACCUGUCAAAGCUUUCUUCAAAAUUGGUGAAGGCAAAGGACAUCUUCCCUGGAAACGACUUGGUGAAAAAAGUUGAUUAAGUUUUAGGAAAGGUGGCAGCUAGGGAACCAUCAAUUCUAAGCCAAGAUGAAGAAUUCUUUGGCAGUGAGGAUUUCCUAAAUGCACUUGCACAAGCUGAGAAGAAUCUGAUGCAAGGGUCUGAAAAGCAAACAACUGAGAAGCAAAUGACUGGGAAGAAAUUAACCAAAAAGGGAAAGGAAAAAGAACAAGAAUAUGACAUCAGAAAAGCUUUCAGCUUGGGGUUGACUCCACCUUCUCCAUCCAUUGAAACAGGGCCCACCUCUUCAACACUUGGUAAUAUAAUUGAACAACCAAUAAUUUCAACAAAUGUUGGAGAAAAGGAUGUGGGUAAAACUUCAGCAGCUUCAGAACAAAGAAUUGGAGAAUUUUCUAGAACUGCAACUGGUUCAAAAUUUGAUACUGACACUAGGUCAGAUAAUGAAUGAUUGCCUAGAACAGAUGCAGGAUCUGGUUCAGUGGUUGAUGUUGACCCUAGGUCAGAUAGUAGUGAAAAAAGUGAUGAUAAAAAAAACACAAUUGGAGGUGGAGAACAAAACAAGGAAGAUGUUUUUGAAAAAACAAAAAAUGAUGAAAAAGUGGAGGGGUAAAAUCUUGAAGACAUGUCUUACUAUUAGGGUUAUGUAAUUAGUAAGGAUAAAUUAUCUAGAUGGAACAAUUUAACUUAUGUUACUAUCGUGUUGUAACUUGAAACUGGAGUUUCUUAAACUAUUGUAUGUGUGUACAAUAUUUUGUUGAAUAUGUAAUAUGAAUGUGUGGUUUAUGUUAAAUAAAUAUCUUUCAUUUUAUGAAUUGAAAAUGCACACAGAGUGUUACAUAAGAAGCUUAUAUUUUAUUAAUAUG